UGAGGAAUAUUGGUCAAUGGACGGAAGUCUGAACCAGCCAAGUAGCGUGCAGGAAGACGGCCCUAUGGGUUGUAAACUGCUUUUGUAUGGGGAUAAAGUCAAUCACGUGUGAUUGUUUGCAGGUACCAUACGAAUAAGGACCGGCUAAUUCCGUGCCAGCAGCCGCGGUAAUACGGAAGGUUCGGGCGUUAUCCGGAUUUAUUGGGUUUAAAGGGAGCGUAGGCCGGAGAUUAAGUGUGUCGUGAAAUGUAGACGCUCAACGUCUGACUUGCAGCGCAUACUGGUUUCCUUGAGUACGCACAACGUUGGCGGAAUUCGUCGUGUAGCGGUGAAAUGCUUAGAUAUGACGAAGAACUCCGAUUGCGAAGGCAGCUGACGGGAGCGCAACUGACGCUGAAGCUCGAAGGUGCGGGUAUCGAACAGGAUUAGAUACCCUGGUAGUCCGCACAGUAAACGAUGGAUGCCCGCUGUUGGUACCUAGUAUCAGCGGCUAAGCGAAAGCAUUAAGCAUCCCACCUGGGGAGUACGCCGGCNCGGU
rnacentral:rRNA from 1 species